rnacentral:misc_RNA from 1 species
UAUUCAAAAAGGAAAUCCGUAUCAUCCAAUUUACCCAAUUUUCCAUCCUCAAGUUUUGUGUACAGAAAGCUAAUAGAGCGAGAAAGUUCUGAUUUUUGGUCUGAUAAAACUUCAUUAAAACUUCUCGCAUCUAGGGACCUAGAUGAAGAAUGAGCCAUACCAGCAGGCUCGCAGGGGACACUUCCAACCCGCCGAAGACUUCUAUUAGCACCAGCCCCAUCACGUUCUGACAAAUGAUCUAUUGCAGCAGGUUUGAUGCCUCGCACGAAUGGGCUAGGUUCAAUCGAGUUACUUCCUGAUACAGUGAACCCGAAACUGACAUUCAAAAUUGCACCUUUAGCCUUUCCUGAAAGCUUGAAGCUAGUGGUCCAUUUCCCUGAAUUCCUUCUUCCCUCCUCUAACUCCUCCAUGGUAAUUGGAAGCAACCUUGUAAGAUCAACACAAUGUUUGCCAAUAUCAAGGGCUGGAGCCCCAAUGACAGAAACAUAAAGCAUGAAAUAUUUGGGCUCAUACUUUGCUGAAUGCUGGUGUCCG